CCUACGGGAGGCAGCAGUAGGGAAUUUUCCACAAUGGGCGAAAGCCUGAUGGAGCAACGCCGCGUGGGUGAAGAAGGUCUUCGGAUCGUAAAACCCUGUUGUUAGAGAAGAAAGUGCGUGAGAGUAACUGUUCACGUUUCGACGGUAUCUAACCAGAAAGCCACGGCUAACUACGUGCCAGCAGCCGCGGUAAUACGUAGGUGGCAAGCGUUAUCCGGAUUUAUUGGGCGUAAAGGGAACGCAGGCGGUCUUUUAAGUCUGAUGUGAAAGCCUUGGGCUUAACCGGAGUAGUGCAUUGGAAACUGGGAGACGUGAGUGCAGAAGAGGAGAGUGGAACUCCAUGUGUAGCGGUGAAAUGCGUAGAUAUAUGGAAGAACACCAGUGGCGAAGGCGGCUCUCUGGUCUGUAACUGACGCUGAGGUUCGAAAGCGUGGGUAGCAAACAGGAUUAGAUACCCCUGUAGUC
rnacentral:rRNA from 1 species